rnacentral:rRNA from 1 species
GAUGAACGCUGGCGGCGUGCCUAAUACAUGCAAGUCGAGCGAACAGACGAGGAGCUUGCUCCUUUGACGUUAGCGGCGGACGGGUGAGUAACACGUGGAUAAUCUACCUAUAAGACUGGGAUAACUUCGGGAAACCGGAGCUAAUACCGGAUAAUAUAUUGAACCGCAUGGUUCAAUAGUGAAAGACGGCUUUGCUGUCACUUAUAGAUGGAUCCGCGCCGCAUUAGCUAGUUGGUAAGGUAACGGCUUACCAAGGCAACGAUGCGUAGCCGACCUGAGAGGGUGAUAGGCCACACUGGAACUGAGACACGGUCCAGACUCCUGCGGGAGGCAGCAGUAGGGAAUCUUACGCAAUGGGCGAAAACUUGACGGAGCAACGCCGCGUGAGAGAUGAAGGUCUUCGGAUCGUAAAACUCUGUUAUUAGGGAAGAACAAAUGUGUAAGUAACUGUGCACGUCUUGACGGUACCUAAUCAGAAAGCCACGGCUAACUACGUG